GAUGAACGCUGGCGUCGUGCCUAACACAUGCAAGUCGAGCGAUGAAGUUUCCUUCGGGAAACGGAUUAGCGGCGGACGGGUGAGUAACACGUGGGUAACCUGCCUCAUCGUGGGGGAUAGCCUUUCGAAAGGACUAUUAAUACCGCAUAACAUCAUUAGAUGGCAUCAUUUAGUGAUCAAAGGAUUUAUUCGCUAUGAGAUGGACCCGCGUCGCAUUAGCUAGUUGGUAAGGUAAUGGCUUACCAAGGCGACGAUGCGUAGCCGACCUGAGAGGGUGAUCGGCCACAUUGGGACUGAGACACGGCCCAGACUGCUACGGGAGGCAGCAGUGGGGAAUAUUGCACAAUGGGGGAAACCCUGAUGCAGCAACGCCGCGUGAGUGAUGACGGUCUUCGGAUUGUAAAGCUCUGUCUUUGGGGACGAUAAUGACGGUACCCAAGGAGGAAGCCACGGCUAACUACGUGCCAGCCGCCGCAGUAA
rnacentral:rRNA from 1 species